rnacentral:rRNA from 1 species
ACCCGCUGAACUUAAGCAUAUCAAUAAGCGGAGGAAAAGAAACCAACAGGGAUUGCCCUAGUAACGGCGAGUGAAGCGGCAACAGCUCAAAUUUGAAAUCUGGCGCAAGCCCGAGUUGUAAUUUGUAGAGGAUGCUUCUAGGUAGCGACCGGUCUAAGUUCCUUGGAACAGGACGUCAUAGAGGGUGAGAAUCCCGUAUGUGACUGGCCCGCACCUUCUACGUAGCUCCUUCGACGAAUCGAGUUGUUUGGGAAUGCAGCUCUAAAUGGGAGGUAAAUUCCUUCUAAAGCUAAAUACCGGCCAGAGACCGAUAGCGCACAAGUAGAGUGAUCGAAAGAUGAAAAGCACUUUGGAAAGAGAGUUAAAAAGCACGUGAAAUUGUUGAAAGGGAAGCGCUCACAACCAGACUUCUAGGCAGUGUUCCGCCGGUCUUUUGACCGGUCUACUCUCUGUCUCGAGGCCAACAUCAUCUGGGACCGCCGGAUAAGACCUUAGGAAUGUAGCUCCCCUCGGGGAGUGUUAUAGCCUCUGGUGAUGCGGCGCGUCUCGGGUGAGGUCCGCGCUUCGGCAAGGAUGUUGGCGUAAUGGUUGUCAGCGGCCCGUCUUGAAACACGGACCAAGGAGUCUAACAUCUAUGCGAGUGUUCGGGUGUCAAACCCCUACGCGUAAUGAAAGUGAACGGAGGUGGGAAGCGUAAGCUGCACCAUCGACCGAUCCUGAUGUCCUCGGAUGGAUUUGAGUAAGAGCAUAGCUGUUGGGACCCGAAAGAUGGUGAACUAUGCCUGAAUAGGGUGAAGCCAGAGGAAACUCUGGUGGAGGCUCGCAGCGGUUCUGACGUGCAAAUCGAUCGUCAAAUUUGGGUAUAGGGGCGAAAGACUAAUCGAACCAUCUAGUAGCUGGUUCCUGCCGAAGUUUCCCUCA